AACAUACUUAAAAUUAUUUGCCAAAAUUAAUAAAACUUGAAUAAAAUUGUCAUAUCUCAUAGACCUAAGACACUAGUUAAAUAAAACAAUUUUGGCAAAAAGAGGUACCGGAGAAAGAUGAGAUAUUGGAUAUCUUGUUCAAGACUUUUCGUCUGCUUCUCGGCUCCCGGGCGGAUAAAAAACAUAUGGACG
ensembl:ncRNA F09A5.10 ncRNA